rnacentral:rRNA from 1 species
GUUCUCGUUAGAUCACCGAAGUCAAGCAUCAUGGGGCGCGGUCAGUACUUGGGUGGGUGACCACCUGGGAACACCGCGUGCCGUU